rnacentral:rRNA from 1 species
CCUACGGGAGGCAGCAGUGGGGAAUAUUGGGCAAUGGACGCAAGCCUGACCCAGCAACGCCGCGUGAAGGAAGAAGGCUUUCGGGUUGUACACUUCUUUUAAGGGGGAAGAGCAGAAGACGGUACCCCUUGAAUAAGCCACGGCUAACUACGUGCCAGCAGCCGCGGUAAUACGUAGGUGGCAAGCGUUGUCCGGAUUUACUGGGUGUAAAGGGCGUGCAGCCGGAGAGACAAGUCAGAUGUGAAAUCCACGGGCUCAACCCGUGAACUGCAUUUGAAACUGUUUCCCUUGAGUGUCGGAGAGGUAAUCGGAAUUCCUUGUGUAGCGGUGAAAUGCGUAGAUAUAAGGAAGAACACCAGUGGCGAAGGCGGAUUACUGGACGAUAACUGACGGUGAGGCGCGAAAGCGUGGGGAGCAAACAGGAUUAGAUACCCUUGUAGUC